GAUGAACGCUAGCGGCAGGCUUAAUACAUGCAAGUCGAGGGGUAACAUGGGGUAGCAAUACUCUGAUGACGACCGGCAAACGGGUGCGGAACACGUACGCAACUUUCCCAAAACUGGUGAAUAGCCCUCCGAAAGGAGGAUUAAUACACCGUAACAUAUAGAGGUGGCAUCGCCUUUAUAUUAUAGCUCCGGCGGUUUUGGAUGGGCGUGCGCCUGAUUAGGUAGUUGGUGUGGUAACGGCUCACCAAGCCUACGAUCAGUAACUGGUGUGAGAGCACGACCAGUCACACGGGCACUGAGACACGGGCCCGACUCCUACGGGAGGCAGCAGUAAGGAAUAUUGGUCAAUGGACGAAAGUCUGAACCAGCCAUGCCGCGUGAAGGAUGAAGGCCCUCUGGGUUGUAAACCACUGUCAGGGGACGGAACCAAUGAUUGUCCCCAGAGGAAGUGGCGACUAACUCUGUG
rnacentral:rRNA from 1 species